rnacentral:rRNA from 1 species
CUUCUUUUCCCACCGGAGCUUGCUCCACCGGGAAAAGAGGAGUGGCGAACGGGUGAGUAACACGUGGGUAACCUGCCCAUCAGAAGGGGAUAACACUUGGAAACAGGUGCUAAUACCGUAUAACAAUCGAAACCGCAUGGUUUCGUUUUGAAAGGCGCUUUACGGUGCCGCUGAUGGAUGGACCCGCGGUGCAUUAGCUAGUUGGUGAGGUAACGGCUCACCAAGGCCACGAUGCAUAGCCGACCUGAGAGGGUGAUCGGCCACAUUGGGACUGAGACACGGCCCAAACUCCUACGGGAGGCAGCAGUAGGGAAUCUUCGGCAAUGGACGAAAGUCUGACCGAGCAACGCCGCGUGAGUGAAGAAGGUUUUCGGAUCGUAAAACUCUGUUGUUAGAGAAGAACAAGGGUGAGAGUAACUGUUCACCCCUUGACGGUAUCUAACCAGAAAGCCACGGCUAACUACGUGCCAGCAGCCGCGGUAAUACGUAGGUGGCAAGCGUUGUCCGGAUUUAUUGGGCGUAAAGCGAGCGCAGGCGGUUUCUUAAGUCUGAUGUGAA